UACGAAGGGGGCUAGCGUUGUUCGGAAUCACUGGGCGUAAAGCGCACGUAGGCGGAUCUUUAAGUCAGGGGUGAAAUCCCGGGGCUCAACCUCGGAACUGCCUUUGAUACUGGGGAUCUCGAGUCCGGGAGAGGUGAGUGGAAUUGCGAGUGUAGAGGUGAAAUUCGUAGAUAUUCGCAAGAACACCAGUGGCGAAGGCGCUCACUGGCCCGGUACUGACGCUGAGACACGAAAGCCAGGGGAGCGAACGGG
rnacentral:rRNA from 1 species